GGGGACGAUCGGCUUCGACGGUGGAUGGAGGUGCUCGAAUGGAGCGCUCCGGCAUCGCUCGCCGCGGUGCGUAUCUGCCGGACGCGGGUUCGACUCCCGCCGUCUCCAUCG
rnacentral:tmRNA from 1 species